GAGGAUGCAGCGUUACGCUGGUAUCACCAGGGGCCUUGGCAGUGCCCUGCGCAAGCUACCGCUCCGCCA
rnacentral:SRP_RNA from 9 species